rnacentral:rRNA from 1 species
GCAAUUGUUAGUGGCAGACGGGUGAGUAAUGCGUAGGAAUCUACCUAGUAGUACGGAAUAGCCAUUAGAAAUGAUGGGUAAUACUGUAUAAUCCCCGCGGGGGAAAGAUUUAUCGCUAUUAGAUGAGCCUACGUUAGAUUAGCUAGUUGGUAAGGUAAUGGCUUACCAAGGCUAUGAUCUAUAGCUGGUCUGAGAGGACGAUCAGCCACACUGGAACUGAGAUACGGUCCAGACUCCUACGGGAGGCAGCAGUGGGGAAUAUUGGACAAUGGGCGAAAGCCUGAUCCAGCUAUGCCGCGUGAGUGAAGAAGGCCUUCGGGUUGUAAAACUCUUUCAAUAGGGAAGAUAAUGACGGUACCUAUAGAAGAAGUCCCGGCAAACUCUGUGCC